rnacentral:lncRNA from 1 species
CAGCAGGCACUGCUGACGGGUCAGCACCAUGCCAGAGGCCGGGGCCGACCGCAGCCUGGAGCCCGGCCAGAGGAUCCCCUCCCAUCCCAACCCCUCAUCCCCCCGUGGAGGAGAUGGACCGGGGCAAAGACUCUGGACUGUGGGGGUCUUCGUCCCCCUCCUCUUCCCUGUCAGACGGUUCCUGAGACCAGGACUGGUGUACUGGCGGUUGUUCGGACCCCUACCACCAUCGUGACGCUCCCAUCUACCCGGCUUCCUCCACCGAAACAGGCAUCAAAACCUACAGCAUCUCUCUCUCUCUCUCUCUCUCUCUCUCUCUCUCUCUCUCUCUCUCUCUCUCUCUCUCUCUCUCUCUCUCUCUCUCACCCUCUCUCUCUCUCUCUCUCUCUCUCUCUCUCUCUCUCUCUCUCUCUCUCUCUCUCUCUCUCUCUCUCUCCCUUUCUCUCACCCUCUCUCUCUCUCUCUCUCUCUCUCUCUCUCUCUCUCUCUCUCUCUCUCUCUCUCUCUCUCUCUCUCUCUCUCUCUCUCUCUCCCUUUCUCUCUCCCUCUCCCUAUCUCUCUCUCUCUCUCUCUCUCUCUCUCUCUCUCUCUCUCUCUCUCUCUCUCUCUCUCUCUCUCUCUCUCUCUCUCUCUCUCUCUCUCACCAUUCCUCUGUGGUCCUUUCCUCCUAUUGCAUCAUUGUGUCACCUUUGAUUUAUCUGGUACAAAGACAGAUAGACAUAGAUAAGAGUGUGUGUGUCUGUGUGUGUGUGUGUGUGUGUGUACUUCAGCUGAAUUUAGCUGGGACAAUGGCCCUUACCAGGGGGGGGGGAAGGCUCGUCCCGACCCACCCAGCUCCAGGAUGAGGCCCUCAAGCACGCCUGGAGCCACGUCCUGGUCCACGACGGGCAGGCCGAGACUCGACGCGAGGGCUCAUCCUGGACAAUGGAUGACCUACGGGCACCCCUAUGACGAGAGGAAGGAGGUGUGGAACCCCAAGUUCUGCAUGAUCACCGACGGCCAGAUCCUGCUGCUGGACAAGGAAGAGGAGAGGCAGUAUGACUCCUGCAAGGUCCGACUCCUGAGACGCACCAUAAGUGUCCCCGUGGAAACACAAUUCCCAGAGUUCCACAGCCAGCUGUCCACAGAAAGCGGUGAGUCAUCAAAGCACCUGCUGCUGCGGCGGACAUGUUUGUUGUUUUUAUUUGCCUACUAUCUGCUGGGAAACGAGGAAUUUAAAGGGAAAGUUGUAUCAGAGUAAAGUGAAAUUGGGAGUGUGUCAAUAAUAUUAUAAUAUAAAGUGAGAGAUGAUUUGAUGCUAUAUCGUUUAC